rnacentral:rRNA from 2 species
UAAGCGGAGGAAAAGAAACUAACAAGGAUUCCCCUAGUAACUGCGAGUGAAGCGGGAAAAGCUCAAAUUUAAAAUCUGGCAGUCUUUGGCUGUCCGAGUUGUAGUCUGGAGAAGCGUUUUCCGCGCUGGACCGUGUAUAAGUCCCUUGGAAUAGGGCGUCAUAGAGGGUGAGAAUCCCGUCUUUGACACGGACUACCAGUGCUUUGUGAUGCGCUCUCAAAGAGUCGAGUUGUUUGGGAAUGCAGCUCAAAAUGGGUGGUAAAUUCCAUCUAAAGCUAAAUAUUGGCGAGAGACCGAUAGCGAACAAGUACCGUGAGGGAAAGAUGAAAAGCACUUUGGAAAGAGAGUUAAACAGUACGUGAAAUUGCUGAAAGGGAAACGCUUGAAGUCAGUCGCGUUAUUCAGAACUCAGCCUGGCUUUUGCUUGGUGUAUUUUCUGUAUGACGGGCCAGCAUCAAUUUUGGCCGCUGGAAAAAGGCUCUAGAAAUGUGGCACCUCCGGGUGUGUUAUAGUCUAGGGUCAUAUACAGCGGCUGGGAUUGAGGUCUGCAGCACGCCUUUAUGGCUGGGGUUCGCCCACAUUCGUGCUUAGGAUGCUGGCGUAAUGGCUUUAAACGACCCGUCUUGAAACACGGACCAAGGAGUCUAACAUGCCUGCGAGUGUUUGGGUGGAAAACCCGAGCGCGUAAUGAAAGUGAAAGUUGAGAUCCCUGUCGUGGGGAGCAUCGACGCCCGGACCAGACCUUUUGUGACGGAUCUGCGGUAGAGCAUGUAUGUUGGGACCCGAAAGAUGGUGAACUAUGCCUGAAUAGGGUGAAGCCAGAGGAAACUCUGGUGGAGGCUCGUAGCGAUUCUGACGUGCAAAUCGAUCGUCAAAUUUGGUAUAGGGCGAAAGACUAUC